ACGGGCUUUAUUGUUUUAUGGGCUUUAUGUUUUGCUUAAGGGACCAAGCCGAUAUGGAACACACUAAGCGUCUCCGUAAGCGUCGAUUGAUCUGAUUUUAGGAUUCAUCCCACUUUUGUUUUCCGUCAUUCAUGAGAUCGGACGCUGCCCCUCCACCGUUCAAGUGCGAUUGCUCCGGUUCUGGGAAGCUAGGAACGUCCGGUGGCGACGAAUUCAUGGGAGUGGAUAUGCUCCUAUUGGAUUCACAGGUUGUUAUGUAUAAAGCUUGCGUUCAUAAUUCAAAAAAAAAAAAUCUGGUGUGUUAAAUCCUCAUUAUCAAGCUUUCCUAUUCAGAGUUUUGUUUGACAUCUUUUGAAUGAGAAAUUUUGAAGCCGUUCUUUGAUUGUGAUGUCAUAAGAGAAAUUUUCGUUAUGUGCUUUUGUGGUUUCUACAAAGUAAUCCAGGAGGUAAGCCUCGCCGCGCCUCGGUAGCAUGCUUCUAGCACAAAGAAGCUCCCACCUGAGUAAAUCUUUAUCGGAGUCUGGAUGCACACUUCGUGAUGUCAUGAAUUCAGUGACACAUUGACCUUAAGUAACGUGAAGAUGAUUUGCCAACAUAAAGACAUCAUACGUCAAGAAAAAUUCAAGAAAGCAGUGCAGUGUGAGAAGUCAGGCAACAACAUUGAUCUAUAAGAACGUUGAGGCAUAUCAAGUCGUGGAUUGUAAGUGGAAGCAAAAGGAUUUUGGUAAUUUUGGUUAGUGACUCAAAUCUUUUACCUUCUCUUCAUAUGGCUUAUUUAGCUGGAUCAAAAGCGUUCAACAUCAAUGUUUCCGUCUCCUCCAGUUGAAUAUUUUAUGUACUAUGGAUGCUACAGUUAAAUUGAAUUACAGAAGCAGGGGUUCUAGGCUUUUAGCUAUCAAGACACUCAAUUGGAUAGGACUUAGCUGGCAGCAUCUUUGAAUGAUCUUUAUACGAACGACAUGGAAAAGCUUUCUGGGCCAAUCAAACGCAUAUGGUACAAAUUGAUACUCCACUGAAUGAGCGGAACGCAAGGCUUCUAAUGAUGGUUCUACUUCUCUACCACAAGGGAGCUGCGAAAAUAGGGUCAAACUUCCAAUGAAUUAAGGUAAAUCAUAAGAGAAACCUCAUCCAAACCAUUGUGUCAACAGAGAAUAGAAGUUCUAAUUUUUGGAAUCAGCUUUCCAUUUAUCAUGCAGGUCUGAUUAAUGUUUUUGUCACAGGUUGUUCUCAACUCUGAUUGUGCUAUGUACAAUACAAGUGAUUAUCUCAAGCUGUCUAAUUAUUUCUCUAACGAUCUGUUUCUUUGUUGAGGGAAGUAGUCGAAGAAGAUUUCACAGCCUUUGUUGGGAGACCAAAUAAGAGACCAAGAACUAACUGUUCAGAAGCAAAUGAAUAGGAAGUAACACAUGCUCUUAUGACACCCUGAGGCUGCGGAAACAUGAUUAAAGGUGUCAUUCCUUGCCUCCUUGGUUUCUUCAAUUUUUUUUUUUGGUUUCUUCGGUUUGUCCACGAAAUACUUUGUGUUCUACUUUUGAAUCUUUUCAGUUGUAAAAAGGAAGAAUAAUAUAGCAAUGUACCCAUUUUAAUAAAUGAAAAUGUAAUCUCCCAUGGCAAUGUCAUCUCCAAGUACUUUGAAUCUUCUCUUUGUUUUUGUAAAAGAGAUGAGUGGUGUUUUUAUUACCAAAGCUAAUUGUAAUCUCCAGCGGGUUUUUUCCGUUAUCAAUAAUGCAGCUCCUGUAAUUUUCUCUCA